CCCCUCUCAGAAUCGCACCUGGAGAGUUUUCAGUCCUCUACCAGUCUUGACUAGGAGAGGGAUAGUCAAACAGAGGCCUCUCCAUUCCAUUCCUAGUUUGGGAAGUGACUAGUGAGUGAAAGACAAUCUGCUACAAGU
rfam:Ornithorhynchus anatinus chromosome 1, whole genome shotgun sequence.